GAUGAACGCUGGCGGCGUGCUUAACACAUGCAAGUCGAACGAAGCACUUUACUUGAUCUUUUCGGAGUGAUUGUUUUGUGACUGAGUGGCGGACGGGUGAGUAACGCGUGGGUAACCUGCCUCACACAGGGGGGAUAACAGUUGGAAACGGCUGCUAAUACCGCAUAAGCGCACAGUGCCGCAUGGUACGGUGUGAAAAACUCCGGUGGUGUGAGAUGGACCCGCGUCUGAUUAGCUAGUUGGUGGGGUAACAGCCUACCAAGGCGACGAUCAGUAGCCGACCUGAGAGGGUGACCGGCCACAUUGGGACUGAGAUACGGCCCAAACUCCUACGGGAGGCAGCAGUGGGGAAUAUUGCACAAUGGGGGAAACCCUGAUGCAGCGACGCGCGUGAGCGAAGAAGUAUUUCGGUAUGUAAAGCUCUAUCAGCAGGGAAGAUAAAUGACGGUACCUGACUAAGAAGCACCGGCUAAAUACGUGCCAGCAGCC
rnacentral:rRNA from 1 species